UAUGUCUUUAUCUACAUACAAUAUUAUAUUAACUCUAGUCAGAGGACAUCCAUCUGUGAUCUGUCCAAUUUUGACAUCAGCAUUCAGCACCCGGCAGUUUUCUUGCGUCUAUCUGUGGUAAAACUGGCUAGAUGGAGACCUAUUUCUUCUUCAUCUGUCCAGGUCUGCAGUUGAAUUACAUGAAAUUUAAUGUAAAAGUUAUCACAAUGUAUAUGAAGUACAAUGGUAAAAUGCAGUGGUGCCGAGGUUCAUUCCAAGAUCAUACAUUUAAUUUACAGACACCUACCACUAAAUAUAAUUUUACAGGCCCACAUGGAGACCUCUACUCUUCAAUUAAUAUAUUCAAAUAUUUAUUAAUUAUUCUAAUUAAUUUGAGUUCCUACAUGAAUAAACUAAAAAUAUAGCUUUGCAUGAGUAAAAUGUAUUAAUAUAUAGCUAAACCUAAAUGGAUCUAUCAAUACUUUUUUUGUAACUAUAAAAAUAAGUAAAUAAUGUAACAAUAAAAACAUAAGUAUUAACAAAUUAUUAUUUUCUAAUCAAAAUGAAAGUAUUAUUUUAAA